UGGCUCAGAGCGAACGCUGGCGGCAGGCCUAACACAUGCAAGUCGAACGCACCUUCGGGUGAGUGGCGGACGGGUGAGUAACACGUGGGAACGUACCUUUUGGUUCGGAAUAACGCAGGGAAACUUGUGCUAAUACCGAAUGUGCCCUUCGGGGGAAAGAUUUAUCGCCAUUAGAGCGGCCCGCGUUAGAUUAGCUAGUUGGUGAGGUAAAGGCUCACCAAGGCUACGAUCUAUAGCUGGUCUGAGAGGAUGAUCAGCCACACUGGGACUGAGACACGGCCCAGACUCCUACGGGAGGCAGCAGUGGGGAAUCUUGCGCAAUGGGCGAAAGCCUGACGCAGCCAUGCCGCGUGAAUGCAUGAAGGUUCUUAGGCAUUGUAAAAUUCAUUUCAGUAGGGCACGAUAAUGACGGUACCUACAUAAGAAGCCCCGAGCUAAUUCUGUGC
rnacentral:rRNA from 1 species